AAAAAAUAAGAGGAGGAAGAAGAAACAGAAAAAGAAAGAGGAGAAAGGAAAAAUAUGUAACAGAGACUAUAUGUGAUCUGUGAAGCUUUAAGUAUUUACUGUCUGGCUCUUCACAGAAACAGUUUACAGACCCCACCAAAGUCUAAAGACCCCUCAGGCACGGCCUCAGUCCUCUCCUGACUCACACGCUCCCUCCUAAAACAAGAAAAGCUCUCCAAGUCUUUACCAAGGCUUUGUCGAUUUAAAUAUGUGUGUGUGUUUGUGUGUGAUUUUUUAAAAAUUGAAUUAUAAAUAGAUUUGAAUCACCAGUUCUCAUGGUUGUGGCAUUUGAGAUUUACCAGUGGAAGAACAGUGGAAUAUUGGUGCGCACAUAAGUCAGCGUGGCCAGCUACAGGCGAAAAAUCAGUCAGCAGAAUUGUAAAUGGUAUUUCUGUUAACCCUUUGACUUGGUUGGAGGUACUAUCACGCAAGUAUCUGCUGAACUUGUUUCUCUUUGCGAAGAACGAAAUGUGAGCAAAAAUAGAUCAAACAUGCCUGUGAAAUACAAAUAUACUUUCAUCUACUGAAAGCCUAACCAAAAUUUUUUUAAAAGGUUCUACUUAAACAAUUAACUUUAGAAUUAGAUAGUUAUUUAAAAAAAAUAAUAAUAAUGACUUAACCAAUUGUCCUCCCUUCCUGUGGAUAUUAGCUAAGAUUUGGUCUUUAUCCACAGGAGAUGUAUGAGGGUCAUCAUUCCUUCAGGUUAUGUUUUAAAACGCUUUCAAUCUCCAUGCUCCAAAACAUCCACUUACCGUUUCCCGGUGAAUUUUCCAAAAACUUAGCUCUGAUCCUACCUACCAAUUCCCUUGCUUUGAAAUUCUUAGACCUAUAUGACCUGCCAAAUUGAUCUAAUCAACAUUAAGGAAGAAAUGAAAACAAAUUACCAAACAUCCCUUUUUGUGUUAAUUAAUUAAUAUAAAAGUCAUGGGGAAAUGACCAGUUGUACAGCUGUAUAUUAUUCAACAUACUGCGCUAUAUAAUUCUCUGUGUCACAGGACAGUUUUCAUACUUGCCUUGAGUCCAUUGGUAAAUUCAGCACACUAACAAACUGAUUAUUCCUCCAACGGUGAAAUAUUUCCCCUUUGCUACCAAGAAGUGAUUUGACAGAACAUUCAGGUGAUUCAUCAGAAAUAAGGCUUAUGAGGUCAGUUUAUGUCUUUAAUUCUCAACCUAUUCCAAAAUAUAACUGGGAUCAACAUUUAAUGUUCAUUUUCAGUGGUGCCUGUGGCUUACAUAGGCAGGUAACUAAUUUUGUCUUCCCCAUGAUGACUCUGACCCCGAGAGCACACAGAAUUGUCCUGUGUCCAUAGGAUUCAUCUCCAGCUCAUAAUGCAAACCAGUUCUAAGGAUAAACAGUAAAGUCAAACAUGUCAUACUUGUUAAUUUCUUCUCUUUCUUUGCAAAAAAGUUCAUAUGUAAAAAUAAAUAACCCAAAUUCUGUAAUAUUAUAGACAUCCAGACGUUACCAUUAAGUGAGUGGCUUGAUUUAUAAAAAAUGAGAACAUAAAAUGGAUAAGUAGAAUUUUAGCGAGAAGGUAAUCUCGAAGCAUAUGAGCUCAUCCUGCAUAGUGUGGACUUGAGGACUCGCUCCUGGGAUCCUUACUGCUGUCAACCUUGGAUGUUCAGGGAAGGAAACUUGUGUGCAAACAGUAUCCUAGCUAGGUCAGAGGAGGUUAUAGGAAAGUAAUAUUGAUAUACCCUCACUCAGCAGGAAACAAACAAUUAGUUCUGUACUUUUUGGAGGUUUAAUCAUCUGAGACUUACUAAGGGGGCCCACCAUUGACGGGAGAGCAGGAGAACUUGUAUGUGAUCCAGGGAUGCAUUGAAUGGUUAAUUAGGUUACAAAACUUAUUCCCAAAUGGAAUGUGUUGAAUUAACUCUGAAUAUCCCUAAAACUAC
rnacentral:lncRNA from 10 species